rnacentral:rRNA from 1 species
GACGAACGCUGGCGGCGUGCUUAACACAUGCAAGUCGAACGGAAAGGCCCCUUUGGGGGUACUCGAGUGGCGAACGGGUGAGUAACACGUGAGUAACCUGCCCUUGACUUCGGGAUAACUUCAGGAAACUGGGGCUAAUACCGGAUAGGAAUCCUUGCUGCAUGGUGGGGGUUGGAAAGCUUCGGCGGUUUUGGAUGGACUCGCGGCUUAUCAGCUUGUUGGUGGGGUAGUGGCUUACCAAGGCUUUGACGGGUAGCCGGCCUGAGAGGGCGACCGGCCACAUUGGGACUGUGAUACGGCCCAGACUCCUACGGGAGGCAGCAGUGGGGAAUAUUGCACAAUGGGCGGAAGCCUGAUGCAGCAACGCCGCGUGCGGGAUGACGGCCUUCGGGUUGUAAACCGCUUUCAGCAGGGGCGAAGCUUGUGGUGACGGUACCUGCAGAAGAAGCACCGGCUAACUACG